CUCAUCCUCCUGUCUCGGGCAGACAGCUUCAGGGCUCUCUGUUUGCCACCCCAGGAUGGGCAGUCCAGCUUGUGCCCCUUCAGGGUCAGUGCCCCCCAUAGGCCCUGGGCUCUGGACUCCCUUGGGCUCUGAGCUCUCCUCUGGCCUUGAUUCUCCAACCUGCAGAGCUGCCGGCAUAUCAGCAAUGCUUGGGGCUGUGCCUCCAGUUUCACCCUCCUGGCCUGGAGUCCAGCUCUGCCAGGCGGGCCGGGCCCACAGCUCCAUGGCUCCAGGGUCUCCAGGCCGUAGCAGGGGUGUCAGUUGCUCCAUGGUACUGCCAAGGGGCCCCAGGACCCGGGCCAGGGGACAUCACCCAGCCAAGUGGAGGGGCUGGCAAGGGUCAUGCCAAGCUAGACUCUUUCUCCUCUGAGCUCUUGGCUUCACUGAGGCUCCAUCCAAGAUUGGCUGAGCUCUUCCCUGCCCACGUCGGAGGCUGCAGAAGGAAUCUGGGCUGCGGGAGCUGGAGCUGUGGGUUUGCAAGCUGUGUUUGCUCGUGGCUGCCUGUGUGCGUGCCUGAAUGUGUGGCAAAAUGAGGGUGUUCCUGUGGCGGUGGGAAGGUUGUGCAGGGGCCCCCAACAGCAGCGCCUGGGUGAGGGUGUGUGUGUGUGUCUCUAGGUCUGUCUGUGCAAGGCAGCACUGUCUGUGUGUGCUGGAGGAUGAGUGCCCCCCCUCAUGUGUGUUGUGAGGGGUGUGCUGUGUGUCACUGUCUGUGCCUGUGUCACAGUUACCAGUCGUUUCCGUGUGUGUGUGUCUGUAUUGCGGGACUGUGGUAGUGUGUGAUGCUGUUACUGGUUGUAGAUCGGAGUGUGUCAGUGUUGUGCAGCUGUGGGCAUCGGUGUCAUUGUGUGUCCGUCAGUGUCUGUGGGUCUGGCCAUCCAUCACAGCUCCUCAGCCUGCUGGGGUGCUGGCCAGCGGUCCGCCGUGGUCCUUUCUCGCUCCCUGCUCUCUCUGCUGCUCGCUGGCUGGGCAGCCGGACUGGUCCUAGGGAGGCCUGGGCCGGUGGGCCGCCUGCCUCAUAGUCUCUGCCCUGGCUGAACUCCGCUCUGGAGACUGCAGGAGCCUCCAACAGCCCUGGAGCCCCGAGAUGGUGGGCGCCGAGGAGGGCUGAGCCUCGGAAUGGGGUGGGGGGUGAGCUGGGGAAAGCCAGCCCUCUCCUCCCCUCCUCUCCCGCCCACCAAUAGGAAGUCAGCUGCUGGUUUCCAUGGUGAUGGCGCUGGACUGGUGGGCUGGACCGGCUGGCAGAGCUGGGACAGAGGGAAGAGCAGGUUCUUGGCAGUCUCCGGGCCAGCGUCUGCCGCGUGCCGCAUCCCACCCCUCAUCCCCACAUCCCCUCGCACCUGCUGGGGCACAUCCCAGGAAAUGGCUUCUGGGGACAAGAACGUGGGAAACCCCCUACCCACAAGCCAGCCCGUAUGUGGUGACAAGGGCCUGGAUGGGGUACCCAGGGGUGUUGGAAGAGGCCAAGGGGAGGCACCCCUCUCCCCUCUGAACCCCGGACUGUGUCCAUGGCAGACAAGCCCGUCUUGGCCAAGGUCGGGGGCCCUCGUGUGGCUUCCCUGGGGAAUAGCAGCACCGAGUCACAGGGCCCCUGGCCACUGGCUCUACCCAGGUAGGAGGUGACAGAACUGUGGGGGAUGCAUGGAGAGGAAGUGACAACCUCAUCUACCUAAAGCAAUGUGUAGAUGAAUAUGCACAACACUACAUGAUGUGUUUGCUGAUGCUUAUGUCAGGGCAUAUACGCAUGACAUUAUAUACAAGUAUAUAUAUAGAUAUAUAAAAUAGACAUACAUUA